AAAUGGAAAGCAAAAAAUAUUGCCUUUAGUUUCGACCUAAAUCCUUGGUGCUGGCCCACCUCCAUUUU
rnacentral:tRNA from 1 species